CGCGGGGUAGAGAAAUGGCAUCUCGCCUGGCUCAUAACCAGGAGACUGCGGGUUCGAAUCCCGCCUCCGCCA
rnacentral:tRNA from 4 species